GCCUACGGGACGCAGCAGUGAGGAAUAUUGGUCAAUGGCCGAGAGGCUGAACCAGCCAAGUCGCGUGAGGGGUGACGGCCCUACGGGUUGUAAACCUCUUUUGUCGGGGAGCAAGACCCGCCACGAGUGGCGGAGCGAGAGUACCCGAAGAAAAAGCAUCGGCUAACUCCGGGCCAGCAGCCGCGGUAAUACGGAGGAUGCGAGCGUUAUCCGGAUUUAUUGGGUUUAAAGGGUGCGCAGGCGGACCAUCAAGUCAGCGGGAAAAUCGUGGGGCCCAACCCCAUCCCGCCGUUGAAACAGGGGGG
rnacentral:rRNA from 1 species